rnacentral:rRNA from 1 species
GUAGGGGUCCAAGCGUUAAUCGGGAAUUACUGGGGCGUAAAGCGUGCGCAGGCGGUUGUGCAAGACCGAUGUGAAAUCCCCGGGGCUUAACCUGGGGAAUUGCAUUGGUGACUGCACGGCUAGAGUGUGUCAGAGGGGGGUAGAAUUCCACGUGUAGCAGUGAAAUGCGUAGAGAUGUGGAGGAAUACCGAUGGCGAAGGCAGCCCCCUGGGAUAACACUGACGCUCAUGCACGAAAGCGUGGGGAGCAAACAGGAUUAGAUACCCUGGUAGUCCACGCCCUAAACGAUGUCAACUAGUUGUUGGGGAUUCAUUUCCUUAGUAACGUAGCUAACGCGUGAAGUUGACCGCCUGGGGAGUACGGUCGCAAAGAUUAA